rnacentral:rRNA from 1 species
CCCUUGACUUUGGGAUAACUUCAGGAAACUGGGGCUAAUACCGGAUAGGAGCUCCUGCUGCAUGGUGGGGGUUGGAAAGUUUCGGCGGUUGGGGAUGGGCUCGCGGCUUAUCAGCUUGUUGGUGGGGUAGUGGCUUACCAAGGCUUUGACGGGUAGCCGGCCUGAGAGGGUGACCGGCCACAUUGGGACUGAGAUACGGCCCAG